CAACGAGUCGCAAGCUCGCGAGAGUAAGCUAAUCUCUUAAAGCCGUUCUCAGUUCGGACUGUAGGCUGCAACUCGCCUACACGAAGUCGGAAUCGCUAGUAAUCGCGGAUCAGCAUGCCGCGGUGAAUACGUUCCCGGGCCCUGUACACACCGCCCGUCACACCAUGGGAGUUUGUAACGCCCAAAGUCGGUGGCCUAACCUUUAUGGAGGGAGCCGCCUAAGGCGGGACAGAUGACUGGGGUGAAGUCGUAACAAGGUACC
rnacentral:rRNA from 1 species